rnacentral:lncRNA from 1 species
AUUUGAUAUUUCAUAGAAAAACGAAAGGGAAAAGAUAGAGGGAACCAAAACGCCACUGGCAAGAUUACUCCUAGCCUCCUUGAAAAAUCGGUCUGAAGAGUCUCUGCAUAUAUUCAAACGGUAAUUUUUCAUACUUUUGAUGGAACUUUUUUUGAGUUUUUAUUUUUCGUCUUCAGUGGUGAUCUACGCUCAAUAAUUAGUCAGAAAGAUUUAAUCUUCCUGUGCUCGUGAUAGUUAAAUUCACAACUCACGUUAUACACGAUAUUUAUUUUAUUUUAUUUUAUUAUUAAUAUUUUUUUAAGGGUAGGGCUGAAGUCGCUUUGCAUUGUAGAAUGAAGCUUUAAUAGGGAUAAUAUCCAUUGUAGUUGUGCAUCGAUGAGGAUUGACUGUAAAUUAUUCAUUUGAGAUAAAAGCUAGGAAUUGCAUUUACCUUGUUAAUGGAAUCGCAUAGAGUUGGAAAACAAAAUAGAGUUCGAUAUCUUGCAGAUAACACGUUAUAAUUGAAUUAAGGUUGAAGACAAGGAUGGGGGUGUGGUGGGGUGGCUUCCUUGAGCAGAAAUUCAUUUUGGCUUCAAGGGCGUAUGCUUACUGUUGAUGCUAGACUGAUGUAUGAUCGCAAGGAUGAGAGAUUUAUUCUGCUAGCCAUGUUUGAAGUGCUUGAAUUUAAAAAAAAAAAAAAAAAAAUUAUGGUAACUUUUGUUGGACUAUAAAAUGGUACAUAGAUCAGAUUCUGUUUCUGACAUUUAAAAGAACGAAAACAUAGAUAAAAAAGAUCCAUGAAUACUUUUAUGGCUUAACCGCAGCCAAUUAAAGAGGCUUUGUUUUCUAUUUGAGACCAGAGCUGGAGUUUUUAUGCGGCUUUUGCAAACAAAAAAUCUCCUUGAAUGAGGAUCUGUUUAUGCCACAGAGAUGGAAUACCGCAUUGGAAUAAAUUGGUUUGUUAAGCCAGGGGAAUUGACUAAUUGUUAGUGGUAUUGGAGAAAAGUCAAAUGUAAAUACAUGGUUUAUUGGAUGUUACCUUGGUUUGGAACUUGAUGUGCUGCUUGACAUAUGUGGUAAUCAUCGUAGAUGUUUAUUUGGUUUGCAAAUUAGAAGCACAUAGGGUAUUUCAAUUCAGUCUGCUCUCUUAAGUAAUGAUGGGACAUUUGACAAACCAGUGUUUUACUGUGAUAUUGAAUUGAAUUUAGAAAAGUCAGUUUGUGAGGCAAAAUGGAAAUAAAUUCACUCUAAGCGAGAUUAGAUUACGUAAUUGACGUAAAUCAGGUUAAGUUCUAUUAAAACAGUGGAUGAUGAUGUGAUUACUGAUCAUAUUGUAUGUCCAAUUGUAAAUGGAUGGAGUACUUGUUCUUGCUAAUCUUUCUCUUUCUUCAUAACCAAAAACCCUAUUUUUUUCUUACUAGUAAAAUCCAGAUAAAUGCUUUACCAUGUUUCUUAUGUAGGUUAUGUUACACUAGGUGGUGCAAAGCAGUAAACUUCUGCCUUCAUUCUCUUGCAUGAAUUUUACUAAUCAUUUUGAGUGUAGGGGAAGACUCUGUGAACUGUAACCAUUUUUGGGCCAUUUUCAGUACGUGGUUAUGAAUACAUUCCUAGUGAAUUUUGUACUGUUUUGUAUUGCGAUAUAUCCUAGGGAUGAGUGCUGUGUUUUCUGUUAAUAUUUCAUUUUGGUUUCAAUUUUGAAGUAUGCAUGCACUUGUGUUCGAGGUCUUGUAUGUUAGCACUGAGAUAUUUGACAAACCAGUUUUUGUGUAAAAUCAAAUUCAAUAUGACACGUCACAUAAAAUAAGUCUGUUAGCAAAAUGCAAACGAAUUGCCUCUAACUGAAAUUACACAUUGAAUUGUUUUGAGUUGCUAUCAUUUGGUAAUUCUCUUAACAAGUGAGCACUUAUUUUGUAUUAUUUAUUUUUUAGAGAAUUGGCAAUCUUUCCGAUGUUAUUUCCCCUGACCUAUUUCAACUUGUAACCAACAUUUAGUUAUAUUUUUCUAUUGUUUUGUGUGUAUAGAUUUGGUGCAUCUAAGAGAUUUUACUCUUCCAGACAAAGGUCAACGAGUAGCAAUAAAACUCCCCUUCCAUUACCUGAACAGUCUACGUCCCCCAGCUCUUGGAGAUCUCUUAUUAUUGUAUGAUACUAUGACUCCAUCUUCCCUGGAGAUGCUCCAAUUUUGCAAUUCUCGUUCUAUAAAAUUUAUGUUCCAUCAUAGCUGGAAUUGGUGGUUUGGUUUUUUUCAUUCACUAUAACGAUGAAAAGAGAGCGAAUCCAAAAGGUGAUUUUGUCAUUUAGACUUACUGAUUUGAUUGAUUGACUUGAUGACAUAAAAGGUUUUCUAAGUGCCAUAUAUAUACUAGUGUCUAUUUGGGAUGAACAAGUUGUUGAUGGUUCACGCCGAAGUAAAAGUUAGGGAUGCUCUUCUGAAAUGGCUUGUGACUCUAGUAUGAGAUUACGGAAUUAUGAAGCAUUUAAGUGAAGGGUGAAAUCGUAUUGACUGGACUUUGUCUACAAUUUCAUGCAGCUUCAAUGGGAUUUUAACUGGUUGUAAACGUGUCGGUGAUGGCUUCAGAGUCUGAUCUGUUACCUAAAUUCUACUUUUUGUAGAAUGUAUAUAUUGAUGAGUUACUUUUGAGAGAUGGGGGAUUCGAUGGCGAUGUUGUUUGUCUAAUUACAGACUUACAACAUGCUUGGUAGGGAUGAAUGGAUUGGACUUGAUAAUACUAAAAAAGAAAGAGAAGCUAAAAUCUUGUUUAUUACACUCUUUAAGUUCUUUCUAGUAUUGCAUACCAAACAAGCUCUUUUUUCUGUUUAUAUUUGAAGCAUUAUUAUUUUAUUUGAAACAACCAGUCCUCUUUGGUUUUUCUCUUUCUUCUGUCUAGCUGUGAAUGUAAUUAGUAUCUUUUCAAGCAUUUCUCUUAUUUACUGUUGGCAGCUGUUGUAAAUACAGUAAUUUGUUAUAAUAAAUUGCCUUUUAUGAGCGUUAUCACUGGAAAAAAAUUAUGUCAAUUGCAAUCUUGCAUCUUUACAUGGAAAUUGGACUGGGAAGGGGAUUCCUGAAAUGUGCUCAUGAUGAAGAUGACAAAAACAUUAUGAAAUUAUACUGCAACCAUCAUUCUUUUGGCUUAUUUCAGUGUGUUUCUGUAGGUCUAUGUCAGUUUCAUCUGCUAUUUUCUUGUUUUAAUACUUAAAGGAAUCCCAUAUCUACUUCUAGUGCUAUUACAUGAAAUAAUAAAUUGCUUCUGCUAGCACAUUUUCAUGAUCAAAGAAGAUUAAACUAAGGGAUAUAACAUUGGUUAAUGAGCAAAUGGUUGGUUAUUCUUCAUAGAAGUCAACUGAAUUUACAUUGUCUAUUGACAAACUGUCUUCAACUCUUCAUUUUAUUUAAAUUUUUUGUUUCAUUUUUCAACUUCAAUUAGGCCAGGGUGUAGAGCUUGAAAGAAGUGCCAUUCAAGGGCCGAUAAUUGGUGGCCCUUUCAGCCUAUUAGUACAGAAGGCCAGUUAGUCACUGAACACAACCUUCUGGAGAUCUGGGUUCUCCUCUACUUCGGUUAUACUUCAUCUCCUGAUGUUGGGCCAGUAGAGGUUCAAAAGAUGGCCAAGACCGUUGAGAUAUUAGGUUUUACUAAUCCAUUUUUCCUUGCAAUUAAAUUGAACUGUUUUUGAGUUCUAUGAUUGAUUUUUUGUUUUUCCUAAUUUGAUUGGAACAAGAGUCAAAACAGAAUCUCAAGAUUUUGCCCAUAUUUGUCACAAUUGAUCCUUAGAGGGAUACGCCUGCACAGCUUCGUGCUUACCUCAGAGGUGAGUUUGCUAUUGACUUGUUUUCUUGUACCCUUCCACAAAACUGGUUGGAGUAUUUUCCAUGAAGCCAGACAUCUCAUAUUUGGUGAAAAAUGGUAGCACUGUUAUAAGUUGACUUUAUUAUUAAUGAAUAAUUGUCAUCAUAACCCAUAAUUAUAUAAUUUGUCUCUCUUUGUAAUUGAGUUUUAAGGAAAAUGACCUGAAGUCGUCAUUUUACAUCAUGAUAUAAUUUCAUCAAUCAUGCUGCCUUCUUAAUCAUGAUUAUUUUUUUGGGUGAGAUAUCAGUUGUGUGUGGCCUUAAGAAAGGAAAGAUGUAAAAUAGUAAUUUUCAGUUAUAACUUAUUUUAUAAGACUUAAAUGAGAUCCAAAGACUUUCUUAGCUGCUGCAUUUGUGUAUAUCUUGUCGAGGGGUUUUCCUUGACUUAAAUUUUGUUAAUUAUCAAAAGAAAGUGUUUUCUAAUGCACUAAACAUCAAUUCCGGCAAAUUAUAUUAUUCUACAAUAAUAAAAAGUACAAUAAGAGAAACCUACUGCGUUUUUUUUUUUUUUUUUUCAGGAAAAAAAAUAUUUUAAGGCAAUUUUUUCUUUGUUUCAACUGGGAUUUUGCAAAGCCCAAUUAGUAUAGGUGAGUAUGGUCACAGCUGCACCGGCUUAAGCUAUUUAUUCUCAUGUUCUUCUGUCCUAUGUCUUUAUCUCCAGAAGUAUUAAAUCAUUUUGAUGGUUCUUUAGAAUGUCUUUUAAUGCAUGGCAAGAAGUAUCUUUUCCCUAUUAUGUAUGUGAGUUGCACCAUUUGGUGUUUAUUUAUUUAGUAGUAGUACUAAUAAGCUAAGUUGUAAUUCUGAUAUUUUCUAUGACUAACAUUUCCCGCACCACUUUCUUUCCAUAUCGAGUGUAGAGUUCGACUCAAGGAUAGUGGGAUUAACUGGACCAGUUGCUGCUAUUAGACAGAUGGCACAACAGUCCAUGUAUUCUUUAAAAAGGUCGACGAAGAAGGAGAUGAUUAUCUUGUCAAGUCUUCUCAAAACAUGUAAAGUGCAAGCCUUCCUCCGAUCUUCCUCGUCUUCACUGUUUCCAUUUUUCUUUUCCCGAUAUAUCUUUUUGCUGUUUUGAAAAGUUGUAUGAAUAUAAUUAACAGGUACUUGAUGAAUCCGAACAUGGAAGUAGUGAGGUGCUUUGGAGUUGAAUACAGUGCGGGGUAGGUUUAUACUUUUCAAGUGUCACUCUUAACAAUUUUUUCCCUUCACACUGUCAAAAUGUAUGUUAGUUUUGAAUUUGAUCCAAUUUUAAUACAAAAUGACACUUGGUAUCUGCAGCAGCUAAGGUUCCUCAUGUUCCCUG